CUCUCUCUGGCCUUCUGGAACUUGAGCACCUUUGGUUCAACUCUCACCUUCACACCUUUUGGUUCCUCAACGUGCACCAUAUACUCACAAGUCGGUGACCCAACGUUAGUCACAGUCCUCUUAUAUCUCACCGUUUUCAAAUUCGCGCCAUUAACGAGGUUGACCGCGAACGAGGGAUAGUUCAAAUCACCGGGACUCAAAACGACGGCGUUACUAGCACACGUGUAGUUAGUGCCGGAGAACAAGAGUAUUCUCUCACUCGUGUAGUUCAAGCUGCACAAGUAGUUGAGAUAAUCGACGGUGGAGGUAUCGUAUACCAGCCCGGGAUCUACCGCUCGCGUGGGAUCCACGUUUCCCGCUCCAAACGCAAACGCUGUGGCCGCCGAUUCAGCUCCCGCGGCGCCUCUAUCUCCGAUCGGUCGGUUCCUAUUGUCAGUGAUCCUCGCCGUCGUCAUGAUUGCUGAUUUGAUCAUCGCCGGUGACCAGUCCCCGUGAACGGACUUGAUUAGAGCGGCGAUUCCGCUGAUGUGAGGACAAGCCAUGGAGGUUCCCGAGAUGAUAUUGAAUUGGACGCGUCUUGGAUCGGAUCUGAGGAGGCUAGGGCUGCUGAACGGUGACCAUCCGGCGAGGAUGUUCAGACCGGGAGCCGCAAUGUCCGGUUUAGCUAUUUCCGGUCCCGCGACGCUAGGUCCUCUGGAUGAGAACGCGGCUACCAUCGGGGCGGUUGCACCAUACGCGGUUCCUCUGAAUCGAACGGAGGCGGUGGCGUUUGCUGCUCCGGCGAGGUAAUUCAGUAAGGUUUUACCGUCGGAAAAUCCAAGUGAAACGGCCGGUAAAACGUGAGGAUCAGCAAGAAGCUCCUCUCCUUCCGCCUCUGUGCUCACAAGAAGCAUCGCUGCUCCUCCGCUCCGUUUCACCUCUUCUCCUUUGGCCGUUCUGCCGCUGGCUCCUCUUAAGCAAAUGACGAUUUUACCCUCGACGAGUUCUCUCUUGAGCGAGUCCCGGAUACAGAACACGGCUCCGCUUUCUUCUCCAGCUGUUCUGUUAAACGCCAAAG